UACGGAGGGGGCUAGCGUUGUUCGGAAUUACUGGGCGUAAAGCGCACGUAGGCGGCUUUGUAAGUUAGAGGUGAAAGCCUGGAGCUCAACUCCAGAAUUGCCUUUAAGACUGCAUCGCUUGAACACGGGAGAGGUGAGUGGAAUUCCGAGUGCAGAGGUGAAAUUCGUAGAUAUUCGGAAGAACACCAGUGGCGAAGGCGGCUCACUGGACCGUUGUUGACGCUGAGGUGCGAAAGCGUGGGGAGCAAACAGG
rnacentral:rRNA from 1 species